CCUACCGGAGGUGGUGGUGGGGAAUAUUGCACAAUGGGCUAAAGCCUGAUGCAGCAACGCCUGUGAGUGAUGAAGGUCUUCGGGUUGAAAAGCUCUGUCUUUGGGGACGAUAAUGACGGUCCCCAUGGAGGACGUCGCGGAUAACUACCCGCCGGUGGCCCCGGUAAU
rnacentral:rRNA from 1 species